UACGUAGGGUGCGAGCGUUGUCCGGAAUUACUGGGCGUAAAGAGCUCGUAGGUGGUUUGUCGCGUUGUUCGUGAAAACCGGGGGCUUAACCCUCGGCGUGCGGGCGAUACGGGCAGACUUGAGUACUGCAGGGGAGACUGGAAUUCCUGGUGUAGCGGUGGAAUGCGCAGAUAUCAGGAGGAACACCGGUGGCGAAGGCGGGUCUCUGGGCAGUACCUGACGCUGAGGAGCGAAAGCGGUGGGAGCAAACAGG
rnacentral:rRNA from 1 species